GGAAAGAUGGCUGAGUUGGUCGAAGGCGCUCGCCUGGAACGCGGGUAGGCAGGUAACUGUCUCGUGGGUUCGAAUCCCACUCUUUCCGCCA
rnacentral:tRNA from 1 species